rnacentral:sRNA from 1 species
UCUUUGCGUGAAGGAUUGAAGUAGAAAGCCCGGAGCUCAAAAAAACAAAUUUUCUUGGACUCAAAAAGCGACCAACGGAAGCUCUUUUGUGACCUUAGAAAAUUGUUUUUUUGGGCGAGGACUUGCAACGUAAAGCCUGACCCGGA